rnacentral:tRNA from 3 species
GGUGGGGUGGCAGAGCGGUUGAAUGCGCAGGUUUCGAAAACCUGUAUGGCAGAAAUGCUAUCGCGAGUUCAAAUCUCGCCCCCACCGCCA